GAUUGCUCUUGCUGCACUGGUAGAGCUUCUAGAGGACCUGUGGCUACAGACGGUCUCCUGCUGCAGCCCUGAGCUGGAGAAGCCCCCUGUUUUUGGGCUGAGGGUGCGGGUGUUUCACGUUCAGGGUCAGGAGGCUCCUCUCAAUUUGUGCAUGGUGCAGACGUCCCUGUGGUCUUCUUUGAUAGAUUUGGGGAGCCUGAGUUGCUUCUGUGGCUGAAGAAGUUCUCAAGUCCCGGUAGGAGGAAGCCAGGGAGCCUUUCGGUGCUUCGUGGAUUGGAUAUGCCAUUAAAUACCUUACAGGGACUGCGCUUGGCUGAAGUCCAGGUGGUUUCUGGGACAGCUGGGCUCAGGGCAGGGUCCUGUCGGGCUCCCUGGGUGUCAGCGGCACCUGCCCCUGCAGGUGCUGCUCUUUGAGCCUCCCCACCCCCACUUCUGCUCCCACCGGGAGGAUCUGCUGGCCUGGUGGGGCCCAGGAAUGCAGAAGACUUUCCUCCUCCUCCCCCACCUUUCUUCUCUCUUGGUUAUCUCUAAGUCUAAAGGGUUGUGGAAAUGUGUUGGGCAAAAACAGAUGGGAAGCCUCCAGGGAGAGGCAGCCUGUCUUCAGCAGGGAGAUUCAUGGCUUUCGAUGUACAGCCAGGAGGGUGAAUAAAAGCUGGCACGUAGAACACAUUCAAGUGCGUUUUCCACUGACUUUAAAAAGCAAAAACUUGUUAAGGAAGUUUCCUUUUAUUUCUGGUUAUCAGUAAUUAUUUUUCAGUUAUGGUUCCAAACCAGAGUUUCCCUAGGAAAUAAACACGGAGGGGCUGAAAGGACCUGGGGCCAUCGGGGGUGGAUGGCCAUAUCCUGGGGCCUUGAUGCCAGUGCCGACUGUUCCCUGCACGCUUCCACGUCCACGCCAACAUUGCAAGGCUAUGUCACGGACUGGAACAGCUACAGUGAUGACACACCUGAGGUGAACACAACUCCAGCAGCAUCCUGGCCUCUCAUGGGGCAAGUGCAUGUGGAAUCUAGAAACUUCACAGCUGAGCCUGCAAAGGUGCUCAUGGCAUGCAGAAGUGUUUCUGGGUAGGUAAAGCCCAGGCUAAUCGCAGGUUCAGUGACCCGACAGUGCAUUUAGGACAGUGAUACUAGAUGGGACGACCAAGCUCUGUGAGUUACACAAUGGGGUGAGUUAGACAGUGGGGUGAGUUACACAAUGAUGGGGUGAGUUACACGAUGGAGUGACUUACAUAAUGGGGUGAGUUACAAAAUGGGGUGAGUUACACAAUGAUGGAGUGAGUUACACAAUGAUGGAGUGAGUUACACAAUGGAGUGAGUUACACAAUUGGGUGAGUUACACAGUGAGGUGAGUUACACAAUGAUGGGGUGAGUUAUACAAUGAUGGGGUAAGUUAUACAAUGAUGGGGUGAAUUACACAAUGGGGUGAGUUACAUAAUGGGGUGAGUUACACAGUGAGGUGAGUUACACAAUGAUACGGUGAGUUUCACAAUGAUGGGGUGAGUUACACAAUGAUGGGUGAGUACACAGUGGGGUGACUUGCACAGUGGGGUGAGUUACACAAUGGG
rnacentral:lncRNA from 10 species